rnacentral:rRNA from 1 species
UACGUAGGCAGCGAGCGUUGUUCGGAGUUACUGGGCGUAAAGGGUGCGUAGGCGGUUGUUUAAGUUUGGUGUGAAAGCCCCCGGCUCAACUGGGGAGGGUCACGCGAUACUGAUCGACUCGAAGGCAGGAGAGGGUAGUGGAAUUCCCGGUGUAGUGGUGAAAUGCGUAGAUAUCGGGAGGAACACCAGUGGCGAAGGCGACUACCUGGCCUGUUCUUGACGCUGAGGCGCGAAAGCUAGGGGAGCAAACGGG